rnacentral:rRNA from 1 species
AGUGGCGGACGGGUGAGUAACGCGUGGGUAACCUGCCUCAGUACAGGGGGAUAACAGUCGGAAACGAUUGCUAAAACCGCAUAACAUAGCGAAACCGCAUGAUUUUGCUAUCAAAUAGUUUAUAGGUAUGAGAUGGGCCCGCGUCUGAUUAGCUAGUUGGUGGGGUAAUGGCCUACCAAGGCGACGAUCAGUAGCCGGCUUGAGAGAGUGACCGGCCACAUUGGGACUGAGACACGGCCCAAACUCCUACGGGAGGCAGCAGUGGGGAAUAUUGGACAAUGGGGGAAACCCUGAUCCAGCCGACGCCGCGUGAGUGAAGAAGUAUUUCGGUAUGUAAAGCUCUAUCAGCAGGGAAGAUAAUGACAGUACCUGACUAAGAAGCCCCGGCUAACUACGUGCCAGCCGCCGC